rnacentral:rRNA from 1 species
AUACCGGAUAAGUCUUUACGGAGAAAGCUUUAUGCACCAUUGGAUGAGCCUGCACUUGAUUAGUUUGUUGGUAGGGUAAUGGCCUACCAAGACUGUGAUCAAUAGCUGAUUUGAGAGGAUGAUCAGCCACAUUGGGACUGAGACACGGCCCAAACUCCUACGGGAGGCAGCAGUGGGGAAUCUUGCACAAUGGAGGAAACUCUGAUGCAGCGAUGCCGCGUGAGUGAAGAAGGCCCUUGGGUUGUAAAGCUCUUUCGUCGGGGAAGAAAAUGACUGUACCCGAAUAAGAAGGUCCGGCUAACUUCGUGCCAGCAGCCGCGGUAAUACGAAGGGACCUAGCGUAGUUCGGAAUUACUGGGCUUAAAGAGUUCGUAGGUGGUUGAAAAAGUUGGUGGUGAAAUCCCAGAGCUUAACUCUGGAACUGCCAUCAAAACUUUUCAGCUAGAGUAUGAUAGAGGAAAGCAGAAUUUCUAGUGUAGAGGUGAAAUUCGUAGAUAUUAGAAAGAAUACCAAUUGCGAAGGCAGCUUUCUGGAUCAUUACUGACACUGAGGAACGAAAGCAUGGGUAGCGAAGAGGAUUAGAUACCCUCGUAGUCCAUGCCGUAAUCGAUGUGUGUUAGACGUUGGAAAUUUAUUUUCAGUGUCGCAGCGAAAGCGAUAAACACACCGCCUGGGGAGUACGACCGCAAGGUUAAAACUCAAAUGAAUUGACGGGGACCCGCACAAGUAGUGG